UACAGAGGUGGCAAGCGUUGUUCGGAAUUACUGGGCGUAAAGGGCGCGUAGGCGGCCAUCUAAGUCAGACGUGAAAUCCCCCGGCUUAACCUGGGAACUGCGUCUGAUACUGGAAGGCUUGAGUAUGGGAGAGGGAUGUAGAAUUCCAGGUGUAGCGGUGAAAUGCGUAGAGAUCCGGAAGAACACCGGUGGCGAAGGCGGUCUGCUGGGCAGUUGCUGACACUGAGGCGCGACAGCGUGGGGAGCAAACAGG
rnacentral:rRNA from 1 species